rnacentral:rRNA from 1 species
AGCUACCCUCGUGGACGGGAAUAAUCUCGGGAAACUGAGGCUAAUUCCCAAUAACGCUCCGCCCCUGGAAUGGGUGGAGCCGGAAACGUUCCGACGCCACAGGAUGCGGCUGCGGUCGAUUAGGUAGACGGUGGGGUAACGGCCCACCGUGCCUAUAAUCGGUACGGGUUGUGAGAGCAAGAGCCCGGAGACGGAAUCUGAGACAAGAUUCCGGGCCCUACGGGGCGCAGCAGGCGCGAAACCUUUACACUGUACGCAAGUGCGAUAAGGGGACUCCGAGUGUGAAGGCAUAGAGCCUUCACUUUUGUACACCGUAAGGUGGUGUACGAAUAAGGACUGGGCAAGACCGGUGCCAGCCGCCGCGGUAAUACCGGCAGUCCGAGUGAUGGCCGAUAUUAUUGGGCCUAAAGCGUCCGUAGCUGGCUAGACAAGUCCGUUGGGAAAUCUGCCCGCUUAACGGGCAGGCGUCCAGCGGAAACUGUCUAGCUUGGGACCGGAAGACCUGAGGGGUACGUCUGGGGUAGGAGUGAAAUCCUGUAAUCCUGGACGGACCGCCGGUGGCGAAAGCGCCUCAGGAGAACGGAUCCGACAGUGAGGGACGAAAGCUAGGGUCUCGAACCGGAUUAGAUACCCGGGUAGUCCUAGCUGUAAACGAUGUCCGCUAGGUUUUGGCGCAGGCUACGAGCCUGCGCUGUGCCGUAGGGAAGCCGAGAAGCGGACCGCCUGGGAAGUACGUCUGCAAGGAUGAAACUUAAAGGAAUUGGCGGGGGAGCACUACAACCGGAGGAGCCUGCGGUUUAAUUGGACUCAACGCCGGACAUCUCACCAGCCCCGACAGUAGUAAUGACGGUCAGGUUGAUGACCUUACCCGAUGCUACUGAAAAGGAGGUGCAUGGCCGCCGUCAGCUCGUACCGUGAGGCGUCCUGUUAAGUCAGGCAACGAGCGAGAACCCGCACUCCUAAUUGCCAGCAGUACCCUUUGGGUAACUGGGGACUA